UGGGGAAUUUUGGACAAUGGGCGAAAGCCUGAUCCAGCCAUGCCGCGUGAGUGAAGAAGGCCUUCGGGUUGUAAAGCUCUUUUGUCCGGGAGGAAAUCCUGGCCUCUAAUACAGGUCGGGGAUGACAGUACUGGAAGAAUAAGCACCGGCUAACUACGUGCCAGCAGCCGCGGUAAUACGUAGGGUGCAAGCGUUAAUCGGAAUUACUGGGCGUAAAGCGUGCGCAGGCGGUUUUGUAAGCCAGAUGUGAAAUCCCCGAGCUUAACUUGGGAACUGCGUUUGGAACUACAAGACUAGAGUGUGUCAGAGGGGGGUAGAAUUCCACGUGUAGCAGUGAAAUGCGUAGAGAUGUGGAGGAAUACCGAUGGCGAAGGCAGCCCCCUGGGAUAACACUGACGCUCAUGCACGAAAGCGUGGGGAGCAAACA
rnacentral:rRNA from 1 species